AUUGAACGCUGGCGGCAUGCCUUACACAUGCAAGUCGAACGGCAGCACGGGUGCUUGCACCUGGUGGCGAGUGGCGAACGGGUGAGUAAUACAUCGGAAUGUACCUUGUAGUGGGGGAUAGCUCGGCGAAAGCCGGAUUAAUACCGCAUACGCUCUGAGGAGGAAAGCGGGGGACCUUCGGGCCUCGUGCUACAAGAGCAGCCGAUGUCAGAUUAGCUUGUUGGUGAGGUAAAAGCUCACCAAGGCGACGAUCUGUAGCUGGUCUGAGAGGACGACCAGCCACACUGGGACUGAGACACGGCCCAGACUCCUACGGGAGGCAGCAGUGGGGAAUUUUGGACAAUGGGCGAAAGCCUGAUCCAGCAAUGCCG
rnacentral:rRNA from 1 species